rnacentral:lncRNA from 11 species
UGUGAGCCACUUUGAAUCUCGGUCUGGAGAGAUAAAGCAGGGUAUAAAUAUUGUAAAUAUAUAUAUAUAAUUGUAUAUAAUAAGAUAAUAAUAUAACGGCAAUCCUGUUUUAUCAUUGUAUGUUUGCC